rnacentral:rRNA from 1 species
UAUCCUACGGGACGCAGCAGUGGGGAAUAUUGCACAAUGGGCGAAAGCCUGAUGCAGCAACGCCGCGUGAAGGAAGAAGGGUUUCGGCUCGUAAAAUUCUAUCAACAGGGACGAAAGAAAUGACGGUACCUGAAUAAGAAGCCCCGGCUAACUACGUGCCAGCAGCCGCGGUAAUACGUAGGGGGCAAGCGUUAUCCGGAAUUACUGGGUGUAAAGGGUGAGGAGGCGGCAUGGUAAGCCAGGUGUGAAAGCCUUGGGCUUAACCCGAGGAUUGCAUUUGGAACUAUCAAGCUGGA